UGAGCUGUAAAAAUAGUUUGAAAGCAAAUGGGGGAUAAGUGGCAAUAGAACACAGCCAAGAACUCUUCUGCGCGAGUCAGCGUGACGUGCAUGCGCGGGCUCAUCAUUUGAAUUAAAUAACGGACACAAGCAACGGGCGGAACGGUAAUCAAAGUGAUGGUCUCCUCGCCAGAGAAGCUCGCAGCAUUGAAUGGGGAAGCUUUGCUAUUUCUUUCGCUGGAAUCUCCGAUUGAAAACAUCAUCGUGUGCGCUUAGACUUCUGUUCCAGUUCUGACUAUACCACACUCUGCUUAUGUGGAUCACUGACUACUAUGUUCUCUGAAGUGGGGGAAACCAGAGCACCUGGAGGAAACCCACGCAAACUCCACACAGAGACGCCAACUGACCCAGCCAAGGCUCGAACCAACGACCUUCUUGCUGUGAGGCGCCACUGCAGCACAGAAUCUGAAG
ensembl:processed_transcript